GCCCAACUGGCUUAGUCGGAAGAGCAUGUGACUCUUGAUCUCAGGGUCGUGAGUUCUCGCCUCGCGUUGGGUG
rnacentral:tRNA from 1 species